rfam:Hymenolepis diminuta genome assembly, scaffold: HDID_contig0000425
AUAUCGGCCCUCUUUGGGGCCACAAAACAUGGAUAGUUAAUUGUUU